rnacentral:misc_RNA from 1 species
GGAACGCAAUAGGCUUCAAGGCUGCAGGAACGUGAGAUUCUCCAUCACUGGCGCCACCAAACCACUUACGACACCAACCAACCAAACCAAAGUUCCAACCUUUCUUUCUCUCGCUAGUCGCCGUGGACUUUUGUUUCGAUAGUUCUCUCUCUCUCUUAUUUCUCAACUGCAGCUUUUCCUUGCACUUUAAGCUUUCUGUCGCACUCUACAAUGGAGGCGAAGCUAUUGAAGGCUCUCUCGCCAGUAUUUCCGUCUCCUCAUAUAUCGAAGUUUCUAAGCACAAGUAGCUGCUUCGAUCCCAAAACCGGGAAAUAUCCUUUUACAUUAACGCCGCGAAGCUUGGCAAGGAGACGCAUUCCAUCUAUUCGUGCAUCUGCUUCUUCCAUUGGGUUGGAAAAGAAGAAAAGGGUUGAUGAGAGUGAUAAUUUGACCCUUGAGCAUAUUAGACGUUCCUUGAUUCGACAAGAGGAUAGCAUAAUAUAUAGCCUUUUAGAGAGAUCCCAGUACUGUUAUAACGCUGAUACCUAUGACCCUGAUGCUUUUGCCAUGGAUGGCUUCCAUGGCUCUUUAGUAGAGUUCAUGCUCAAAGAAACUGAAAAACUUCAUGCUCAGGUUGGCAGAUACAAGAGCCCUGAUGAGCACCCUUUCUUCCCAGACUUGCCAGAGCCAGUGUUGCCACCUCUGCAGUACCCACAGGUACUACAUCCCAUUGCUGAUUCAAUUAAUAUAAAUAGGAAAGUAUGGGACAUGUACUUCAGAGAUCUUCUCCCACGAUUGGUUAAAGAUGGAAAUGAUGGCAAUACUGGAUCGACUGCUGUAUGUGAUACAAUCUGCCUGCAGGCUCUCUCAAAAAGAAUUCAUUAUGGAAAAUUUGUCGCUGAAGCCAAAUAUCGGGCCUCUCCAGAUGCAUAUGAAGCUGCAAUUAGGGCACAGGACAGAGAGAGGUUGAUGGAUUUGCUGACAUACAAGAAAGUUGAAGAGGCAAUCAAAAAGAGAGUGGAGAUGAAAGCUAUAACUUUCGGGCAAGAGGUGACAAUAUAUUGCGAGGAAGAUGGAAGUGACCCAGCAUGCAAAAUAGAACCAAGCUUGGUUGCCAAUCUAUAUGAGGACUCGAUAAUGCCAUUGACAAAAGAAGUUCAAGUUAUGUAUUUACUGAGAAGGUUGGAUUAAACUUUUCAAUGGCUGUUUAUGAUAGAGUUUUUCCUGAUAGCAGCCGGUUGAUGCUUGUGCUUGUAAUUACACGUGUGAAAGAUGACAGAUAUGCAAGAUCGCUAUGUAAAAAUAUCAAACAGUUACAGAUUUAGAAAAAUAAAUUUUGUGCAUGGAGACAACCUGCACCAAAUAAGUUGUCAUGUAUCUUAUUCUAAGGCAAAUUGGAAACAUGGAAAAUUUGUUAAUUCUCAGAACUCCAAAUGAUAGU